CUGGCCUAACCAGAUGUUCUGGGGUCUCUCUUGCCUGCAAUCUUCUUGGCUGGUGGCUGGAACUUUAAAGAAAGAGAUCCAUGGGCAGUGGGAAGAGUGGACUGAGAGGCAGGCAGCCGGGGGCCCGCCCUGCGUAUGCUGGGGAAAGAAGAGCCGCGGCAUGUCUAAGCUGAAAGGCCUCCCAAACCCCUGAAUCCCACCGUUUCCCAAAUGAGCAUAAUGAGGCCAAGAGAGGGCAAGGCACUUAUCCAAGGCCACAAGCAAGCUGGGGACCAGGACCACAUCAGCUGCCCCAUGGUAGCGCCCGAAGGAACCCUCUCACGGGAGAGCAGGACGCAGCCAGAUCCUCAGAAGACAAGGGUGAGAGAGAUGCGUUUCCAAGUGGGACGUGAAGACGCCUGGCAGGAGACAUCCCCGCAGGAGGAGCAGUGGGAACGAGUUUCCUUCUUUAGGACUCUGUGCUUCCCUUGCCCUACAACAGACCCUAUGUUCAGUCCAGCCUCUUGGUGGCAGACAAGGAAGCAGAGGCCCGGAGAUGUCAAGGGACUUGGCCCAGGUCACAGAGGCAGCCAUAGCAGGGCCGUCCUUGGACCUCCGUUUCCCAACUUGAAGCCCAACCCAGAGCCUCCUCUCCUUGGGCAGAUCUUAGACCCAGAUGAAGAAGUGAGGGAAGCUGUCCUGUUCGUCCUCUCUGGACCCGACAAACAUUCCUACAAGGGGUAACUUU
rnacentral:lncRNA from 1 species